rnacentral:rRNA from 1 species
GCAUAGUGGGGUCGAGCUGCGGGGGUAAUGCGGAGGGCUCGGGUGGUGUUCGGAUUCACUGGGCGGAGAGGGGGGGGAGAUGGGCGGGGAAGGUUGAUGGGAAAGCUCGGAGCGUAACUACUAAAUGGCAUUGGAAACUGCCUGGGUCGAGGUUUGGAGGGGGGACUGGAAUACUUGGUGUAGCAGUGAAAUGCGUAGAUAUCAAGUGGAACACCAGUGGCGAAGGCGAGUCCCUGGACAACACCUGACACUGAGGCACGAAAGCUAGGGGAGCAAACGGGAUUAGAUACCCGUGUAGUC